AUGAGUGUUCUCAAUCAGGUCCCCUUCAGACAUGUUGGGACCUCCCCCCCAACUCCCAGAAUUCCUGGGCAGCUGAAACAACUUUGGACUAAGGGCCAAACUGGACAGGAUUUUGAAGUAGAGACUGUAGGGCACCCUUUGCCCAAAUGGAAAAUUGGUCCUCCUGAGUGCUGGGCUGUGAGAAGCAAGCCAAUAUUUUUUAACACAGCGGAACCUACUCCUUGCCUGUGCAUUGUAAUAUUUGCAAGCCUCCAGCAAGCAGAUGAUGGGAAAAAUCUCACUGCAGGUGUGGACUCUCUGCUGUCUUCCCUCUUCUUCCAAAAAGGAAGACAUGGAGGUGACACACAUCCCACAAGAGCCUCCCAGGGAAGAAAGAAUGACUUCUAGAACUGGGAGAGUUAAGAGAUUAACCAUGAUAAGAGACAGACUGAGAUGGAGAAGGAAGGUGCUCUGGGGAAAGUGGGAACCAACAGGAUGAUCCAACCAGGAAAAUGAAAAGCAGAAUGAUCUUCCUCCCUAUUCUGUAGCUAUCUCCUCUUUUUCAAAUUUAUCAACCAAUGUCACCUCAGCCUCUUUUUUAUCCCACUUCUCCAUAUAUGAUGACCUUGUCCUAUUUUUCAAAUUCCUCUUCCUGUGGAAAUGUAGCUUAGUUUUAUCAACCUG
rnacentral:lncRNA from 1 species